CCUACGGGAGGCAGCAGUGGGGAAUAUUGCACAAUGGGGGAAACCCUGAUGCAGCGACGCCGCGUGAAGGAAGAAGUAUUUCGGUAUGUAAACUUCUAUCAGCAGGGAAGAAAAUGACGGUACCUGACUAAGAAGCCCCGGCUAACUACGUGCCAGCAGCCGCGGUAAUACGUAGGGGGCAAGCGUUAUCCGGAUUUACUGGGUGUAAAGGGAGCGUAGACGGCUGGGCAAGUCUGAAGUGAAAGGCGGGGGCCCAACCCCCGGACUGCUUUGGAAACUGUAUAGCUAGAGUGCAGGAGAGGUAAGUGGAAUUCCUAGUGUAGCGGUGAAAUGCGUAGAUAUUAGGAGGAACACCAGUGGCGAAGGCGGCUUACUGGACUGUAACUGACGUUGAGGCUCGAAAGCGUGGGGAGCAAACAGGAUUAGAUACCCGAGUAGUC
rnacentral:rRNA from 1 species